rnacentral:rRNA from 1 species
GACGAACGCUGGCGGCGUGCUUAACACAUGCAAGUCGAACGGAAAGGCCCUGCUUUUGUGGGGUGCUCGAGUGGCGAACGGGUGAGUAACACGUGAGUAACCUGCCCUUGACUUUGGGAUAACUUCAGGAAACUGGGGCUAAUACCGGAUAGGAGCUCCUGCUGCAUGGUGGGGGUUGGAAAGUUUCGGCGGUUGGGGAUGGACGCGCGGCUUAUCAGCUUGUUGGUGGGGUAGUGGAUUACCAAGGCUUUGACGGGUAGCCGGCCUGAGAGGGUGACCGGCCACAUUGGGACUGAGAUACGGCCCAGACUCCUACGGGAGGCAGCAGUGGGGAAUAUUGCACACUGGGCGGAAGCCUGAUGCAGCAACGCCGCGUGCGGGAUGACGGCCUUCGGGUUGUAAACCGCUUUCGCCUGUGACGAAGCGUGAGUGACGGUAAUGGGUAAAGAAGCACCGGCUAACUACGUG